rnacentral:rRNA from 1 species
AACGAACGCUGGCGGCAUGCCUAACACAUGCAAGUCGAACGAGACCUUCGGGUCUAGUGGCGCACGGGUGCGUAGCGCGUGGGAACCUGCCCUUAGGUUCGGAAUACUUCCCCGAAAGGGGUGCUCAUACCGGAUAAUGUCUUCGGACCAAAGAUUUAUCGCCUUUGGAUGGGCCCGCGUUGGUUUAGCUAGUUGGUAGGGUAAAAGCCUACCACGGCGACGAUCCAUAGCUGGUCUGAGAGGAUGAUCAGCCACACUGGGACUGAGACACGGCCCAGACUCCUACGGGAGGCAGCAGUGGGGAAUAUUGGACAAUGGGCGAAAGCCUAAUCCAGCAAUGCCGCGUGAGUGAUGAAGGCCUUAGGGUUGUAAAGCUCUUUUACCCGGGAUGAUAAUGACAGUACCGGGAGAAUAAGCUCCGGCUAACUCCGUG